UACGUAGGGUGCAAGCAUUAAUCGGAAUUAUUGGGCGUAGAGGGCGCGUAGGCGGGAAUGUAAGUCAGAUGUGAAAUCCCGGGGCUCAACCCCGGAACAGCAUUUGAAACUACAUUUCUAGAGGGUAGGCGGAGAAAAUGGAAUUCCACAAGUAGCGGUGAAAUGCGUAGAUAUGUGGAAGAACACCAGUGGCGAAAGCGAUUUUCUAGCUUAUACCUGACGCUGAGGCGCGAAAGCAAGGGGAUCAAAC
rnacentral:rRNA from 1 species